rnacentral:rRNA from 1 species
GCUUGUCUCAAAGAUUAAGCCAUGCAUGUCUAAGUAUAAACAAAAUCUAUACUGUGAAACUGCGAAUGGCUCAUUAAAUCAGUUAUAAUUUAUUUGAUAAUAUCUCUUUACUUGGAUAACCGUAAAAAUUUUAGAGCUAAUACAUGCAAACAAACCCAACUUUUUUUAUUAAAGGAAGGGUUGUAUUUAUUAGAUACAGAACCAAUGCAGGGCAACCUGGUAUUCUGGUGAUUCAUAAUAACUUGACGAAUCGUAUUGCUUUUUAAGCUGACGAUGAUUCAUUCAAAUUUCUGCCCUAUCAACUGUGAUGGUAAGGUCUUGGCUUACCAUGGUGACAACGGGUGACGGGGAAUUAGGGUUCGAUUCCGGAGAGGGAGCCUGAGAAACGGCUACCACUUCUAAGGAAGGCAGCAGG